rnacentral:rRNA from 1 species
ACGUCUACAUUAGAUACCCCCGUAGUCCCAGCCGUAAACUAUGCGCGUUAGGUGUAUCGGUGACCACGAGUCACCGAGGUGCCGAAGGGAAACCGUGAAACGUGCCGCCUGGGAAGUACGGUCGCAAGGCUGAAACUUAAAGGAAUUGGCGGGGAGCACAACAACGGGUGGAGCCUGCGGUUUAAUUGGACUCAACGCAGGGAAGCUCACCGGAUAAGACAGCGGAAUGAUUGCCGGGCUGAAGACUCUGCAUGACUAGCUG